rnacentral:rRNA from 1 species
CCUUUUCAAAAAGCGGAGGAAAAGAAACCAACAGGGAUUGCCUUAGUAGCGGCGAGUGAAGCGGCAAAAGCUCAAAUUUGAAAUCUGGCUCUUUCAGAGUCCGAGUUGUAAUUUGAAGAAGGUAUCUUUGGGUCUGGCUCUUGUCUAUGUUUCUUGGAACAGAACGUCACAGAGGGUGAGAAUCCCGUGCGAUGAGAUGAUCCAGGCCUAUGUAAAGUUCCUUCGAAGAGUCGAGUUGUUUGGGAAUGCAGCUCUAAGUGGGUGGUAAAUUCCAUCUAAAGCUAAAUAUUGGCGAGAGACCGAUAGCGAACAAGUACAGUGAUGGAAAGAUGAAAAGAACUUUGAAAAGAGAGUGAAAAAGUACGUGAAAUUGUUGAAAGGGAAGGGCUUGAGAUCAGACUUGGUAUUUUGUAUGUUACUUCUUCGGGGGUGGCCUCUACAGUUUAUCGGGCCAGCAUCAGUUUGGGCGGUAGGAGAAUUGCGUUGGAAUGUGGCACGGCUUCGGUUGUGUGUUAUAGCCUUCGUCGAUACUGCCAGCCUAGACUGAGGACUGCGGUUUAUACCUAGGAUGUUGGCAUAAUGAUCUUAAGUCGCCCGUCUUGAG